rnacentral:rRNA from 1 species
GACGAACGCUGGCGGCGUGCCUAAUACAUGCAAGUAGAACGCUGAAGAGAGGAGCUUGCUCUUCUUGGAUGAGUUGCGAACGGGUGAGUAACGCGUAGGUAACCUGCCUUGUAGCGGGGGAUAACUAUUGGAAACGAUAGCUAGUACCGCAUAACAAUGGAUGACACAUGUCAUUUAUUUGAAAGGGGCAAUUGCUCCACUACAAGAUGGACCUGCGUUGUAUUAGCUAGUAGGUGAGGUAAUGGCUCACCUAGGCGACGAUACAUAGCCGACCUGAGAGGGUGCUCGGCCACACUGGGACUGAGACACGGCCCAGACUCCUACGGGAGGCAGCAGUAGGGAAUCUUCGGCAAUGGGGGCAACCCUGACCGAGCAACGCCGCGUGAGUGAAGAAGGUUUUCGGAUCGUAAAGCUCUGUUGUAAGUCAAGAACGGGUGUGAGAGUGGAAAGUUCACACUGUGACGGUAGCUUACCAGAAAGAGACGGCUAACUACGUG